rnacentral:rRNA from 1 species
GACAGAGGUCCCGAGCGUUAGGCGGAAUCACUGGGCUUAAAGCGUGUGUAGGCGGAUCGUUAAGUGCCUUGUGAAAUCCCAUGGCUUAACCAUGGAACUGCUUGGCAUACUGGCGGUCUUGAGCCACUUAGGGGCAACCGGAACAAAUGGUGGAGCGGUGAAAUGCGUAGAUAUCGGGAAGAACACCGAUGGCGAAAGCACUCUGCUGGGCCGAAACUGACACUGAGAGACGAAAGCUAGGGGAGCGAAUGGG